AUGUGCUUCUUAGAGGACCUAGACUAACUCAAGAAACUUCCAUAGUUAUAAUCAAUACCGGCAGAAUAUGAUCAAGCUUCUUUGCAAGCUUUGAAGAGAGAGAUGCAACAGUUAAGAAAAUCAGGAAAUUGCUUCUUGGCAGGCGUGGAUGUGAAUUGGGCUUUGUAACUGGGUUUGCCUGUGGUGUUGGGGGGAGGCGUGUGGGAGGAGAAGGAAGAGGAGUGGGAAAGGGAGUCCUCUCCAGGGACGUCUCCUCUCAUCCCUGCACCACAGUGGAACGGGGUCUAUAGCUGUGGACCUUGGCUGGAGGCAGACAGGAGCCUGUGAAAAUCCCCAGGAUGAAGUUCUCUUGUUCAGACUGUAUGUGCGGGAAGCCAAAGGAAGCCAUCUGGGAAGAGACAUCCAUGAUGCACUGAGUCUCCUUAGCGCCCUCAAAGAGCACCUGGGUGUGGCUGAGGCCCUGAGUGCCACACUGUGAUGUUUCUCGACAGAUUGCCUUACACGCAUCCCGGUUACCUCUGAUCUGGUUUUCUCCACCACAUCAGCAUCCCUACGCAGGUUGUGAAGUCAGCUGCCCCCCAGUGAACAGGGUUGGAGAUACCAGUCUAGAUUGGGAUGAUCUGGUAGAGAGAGAGAAGAAAGAAGUAGCUGACUCAGGAGAAAGUGGAAUGGAAUUGCAACAAUUUGAGGUUAUUGAAAAAUGCAUAUUUCCCCCUUUAAUUUAGUGAUUGCCACCUAUGUACUUGUAAAUAAAAGUAUUGC